GUAAUACUCCCUUCAUUCGAAAAAGCUUGUCAUCAAAAUGGAUAAAAGAGGAUGUAGCUAGAACUAAAAUACAUCUAGAUACAUCUCCUUUUAUUCAUUUUGAUGACAAGUAUUUCCGGACGGAGGGAGUAGAUG
rfam:Triticum urartu cultivar G1812 contig972808, whole genome shotgun sequence.